GAUGAACGCUAGCGGCAGGCCUAAUACAUGCAAGUCGAACGGUGUAGCAAUACACAGUGGCGCACGGGUGCGUAACACGUAUGCAACCUACCUUACAUUGGGGGAUAGCCUUUCGAAAGGGAGAUUAAUACCGCAUAAGACAGUAACUAGGCAUCUAGUAGCUGUUAAAGAUUUAUCGAUGUAAGCUGGGCAUGCGUCCAAUUAGUUAGUUGGCGAGGUAAUGGCUCACCAAGACGAUGAUUGGUAGGGGAACUGAGAGGUCAAUCCCCCACACUGGCACUGAGAUACGGGCCAGACUCCUACGGGAGGCAGCAGUAGGGAAUAUUGGGCAAUGAGCGCAAGCCUGACCCAGCCAUGCCGCGUGCAGGAAGAAGGCGUUAUGCGUUGUAAACUGCUUUUAUACAGGAAGAAACGACCCUUGCGAGGGGCAUUGACGGUACUGUAUGAAUAAGCACCGGCUAACUCCGUGCCAGCCACCGCCGUAAAAC
rnacentral:rRNA from 1 species